AUGAAUAGUUUUGAGAAGAAGAAGGAGUAAACACAAUGGCACACAAAAUCCUCUUCAGAACAACCUUCAUUCUCACCACUCUCAAACAAUUCACAACAACAAAAACUCACUCUUCCUUCCUUCAUCAUCUUCCAUUUCUCCACUCACAACAACAUUCCCCUUCAUUCCUCUUCACUCUCAAAAAUCAUCCAAUCUCACUUCACUCAACAACCACCGCCGCAACAACAACCGCCGCCGCCUCCGGUUACGGCGGUUACCUAGAAUUAACAGACGAUGAAUUAAUUCGACAGUGCGAAAUGGAUACGUUCAAAUCCUCUGGUCCUGGUGGUCAGCAUCGUAACAAACGUGAAUCUUCUGUUCGACUUAAACACUUACCCACUGGUAUCGUCGCUCAGGCUUCUGAGGAUCGGUCUCAGCAUAAGAACCGUGCUUCUGCUAUUAAUCGACUUCGAUCUCUUAUAGCUCUUAAAGUCAGGAAAACGGUAGAUCUUGAUGCGUAUUCACCACCUCGAGAGCUUCUUCAGAUACUUCCUCCCAAGUCAUCUAUUAGAGGGUCAGAUAUUGGUUCACAAAUUGGACCCAAUAAUCCAAAAUUCGCAAUGGUAUGUUCAGGGAAUGCAAGCUCUUCUGGAUCUCAUUUUUGCAGUUGAGGGGUCUGUCUCGGAUGCUGCGAAAUAUCUUGGGUUAUCAACUGGAGCAGUGUCUCGGUUAAUCCUAUCUGAUGAUUUACUUAGAAAGGAAGUAAAUGAUCUGCGGGCAUCAAAGGGUAUGAAGCCUCUCAAGUAAAAGCUCGAAAGCCCGACACAAUUGCAGAGGUUGAAAAUGAACAACAAUAUAGAAGCUGAUGAGAUUGUGAAGAGAGCUCAUUCUCCAGAACACAAUCACUAUAGUUGGAUAAAACUUGUGCUUCAAGGUGAGUGCCAAAGUUCUCUGUAGAUUUUUUGAACAAGAUAGCUAUGUAUAAAUUUUUUAUUUGUACUCCUGUGUACACUAUACUAUACUGUGAUUAUUUUUCCUUGUUUCUACAGAACAUUUAGUUGGAAAAUUGUAAUACAACAUGCAGAUAUUUGUAGAUUUAAAAAAAAAAUAAAGAUUAUAAAUUUAUUAAUUUUUUGACA